ACCGCCGAAAGUCGCGAAAGAAAAAUGAAAGAAAAACAAAAAAAAAAAAAAAAACGAUAAAUCAAGCCUGGUUAUCGUAAAUAUUAUCUUAUUGGGGCGAGAUUAAUUGUUUUAACGUAAUAAUAACGCGUCUCCCAGCGCGCUUUGUUUUCGCGAACCGCCGUUUACGAAACACAAUCGCGUAAUAUGUGUUGACGACAUUACGUGUCGGUAUAUUAUAUAAUUUCUCCGGCACAAUGAUCUCGUUCAUUAUAAUAUCACGAUCAACUUCCGUAUGCAAAAUGUGCGCGAAAAUUAGUUUUUUAUUGGGAGGGGGGCUAAGGGAGGAUUUAAUGUUUAGCAAACUUCUCGUUUUCGUUAAAAAAAAAAAAAAAAACAACAAUAACAAAGAACAUUUUCCGUAAAUCAUUAAGAUGACUGAAAGAUCGUAUGGUGAAAAAAAAAUCAAUACGUAUACGGUUAACAAGUAGAUAGUUGUUGAAGACGGUAUCCAGCCAAAAUAGCGAAUGUAAAAAUCAUGAAUUAACAAUAGCCAAAUUAAAAAUAGCGAAUUUUAAAAAAGAGCGAAAAU